CCUGGUGCUUAUGGCGCGGUGGAACCACUCUGAAUCCAUCUCGAACUCAGUUGUGAAACGCUGUUGCGGCUACGAUAGUUUGGGGGUUGCCCAUGCAACAAUUGCUCAGUGCCAGGG
rnacentral:rRNA from 2 species